AUUGAACGCUGGCGGAAUGCUUUACACAUGCAAGUCGAACGGCAGCACGGACUUCGGUCUGGUGGCGAGUGGCGAACGGGUGAGUAAUGUAUCGGAACGUGCCCAGUCGUGGGGGAUAACGUAGGGAAAAUUACGCUAAUACCGCAUACGAUCUAUGGAUGGAAGCGGGGGAUCGCAAGACCUCGCGCGAUUGGAGCGGGCGAUAUCAGAUUAGGUAGUUGGUGGGGUCAAGGCCCACCACGCCAACGAUCUGUCGCUGGUCUGAGAGGACGACCAGCCACACUGGAACUGAGACACGGUCCAGACUCCUACGGGAGGCAGCAGUGGGGAAUUUUGGACAAUGUGCGAAAGCCUGAUCCAGCCAUUCCGCGUGCAGGAUGAAGGCCCUCGGGUUGUAAACUGCUUUUGUACAGAACGAAAAGGUUUCUACUAAUACUAGGAGCUCAUGACGGUGCUGCAAGAAUAAGCACCGGCUAACUACGUGCCAGCCGCCGCAGUAA
rnacentral:rRNA from 1 species